rnacentral:rRNA from 1 species
GGUUAAAAAGCUCGUAGUUGGAUCUCGGCGGGCAGGGGGUGGUUCGCUCUUCAGCGCUACUGCCCCGCUUUGCCCGUGUGAUUGGCGGAGGUUUCGGGGUGCUCUUCGUUGAGUGACUCGGAGCGCCGUCAGGUUUACUUUGAAAAAAUUAGAGUGCUCAAAGCAGGCUUUUCACGCUUGAAUAUUCGUGCAUGGAAUAAUGGAAUAGGAACUCGUUUCUAUUUUGUUGGUUUUCGGAAAUCGAGUUAAUGAUUAACAGGGACAAUUGGGGGCAUUAGUAUUCAGACGACAGAGGUGAAAUUCUUGGACCGUCUGAAGACUGACUACUGCGAAAGCAUUUGCCAAGAGUGUUUUCAUUAAUCAAGAACGAAAGUUAGAGGUUCGAAGGCGAUCAGAUACCGCCCUAGUUCUAACCAUAAACGAUGCCAGCUAGCGAUCUGCCGAGUUUUUUUUGUAGGCUCCGCAGGAAGCUUUCGGGAAACCAAAGCUUUUGGGUUCCGGGGGAAGUAUGGUUGCAAAGCUGAAACUUAAAGGAAUUGACGGAAGGGCACCACCAGGAGUGGAGCCUGCGGCUUAAUUUGACUCACACGGGAAAUCUCACCAGGCCCGGACACUGGAAGGAUUGACAGAUUGAGAGC